GGAUCUACUAAAGAUGACGCAAAUGCCGACUGAACAAUCUGAAACCCAAAGGACUCGAGGAGAGACAUGUUCUGCUGAGGAGAGAAAGAACUGUAAGAGAAAGCAACAUUCACCUUUAAAUGUGUUACGGAUCAAAUGGUAACCCACUGAAGACCACCCCAUUACCUUGUGCUAGAACGGAACUGCCUCUACCAUCUCUCUUUAACAGAAGCACAUCCUGAGAACCUGAGAGCUCAAGGUAAGUGUCUGAACACUGUCACCACAUACAGACAUCUAACUAUCUCUUUACUGUACAACCAUAGCAAGAAACAAAUGCAUGCAAUGCUGUCAAGGUAGAAGACACCACUGUUUACUAUCCCAGUUCCAAAUAUCUGUGUAUGUUAGCACAGCCUACCUAGCUCUUAUGUCAUUAUCUUUUUAAGUAAAUAUACAUUUGAACUGAA